CUGGGUUAGUCGGGUCCUAAGCUGAGGCCGACAGGCGUAGGCGAUGGAUAACAGGUUGAUAUUCCUGUACCACCUAUAAUCGUUUUAAUCGAUGGGGGGACGCAGUAGGAUAGGCGAAGCGUGCGAUUGGAUUGCACGUCUAAGCAGUAAGGCUGAGUAUUAGGCAAAUCCGGUACUCGUUAAGGCUGAGCUGUGAUGGGGAGAAGACAUUGUGUCUUCGAGUCGUUGAUUUCACACUGCCGAGAAAAGCCUCUAGAUAGAAAAUAGGUGCCCGUACCGCAAACCGACACAGGUAGUCAAGAUGAGAAUUCUAAGGUGAGCGAGCGAACUCUCGUUAAGGAACUCGGCAAAAUGACCCCGUAACUUCGGGAGAAGGGGUGCUCUUUAGGGUUAACGCCCAGAAGAGCCGCAGUGAAUAGGCCCAAGCGACUGUUUAUCAAAAACACAGGUCUCUGCUAAACCGUAAGGUGAUGUAUAGGGGCUGACGCCUGCCCGGUGCUGGAAGGUUAAGAGGAGUGGUUAGCUUCUGCGAAGCUACGAAUCGAAGCCCCAGUAAACGGCGGCCGUAACUAUAACGGUCCUAAGGUAGCGAAAUUCCUUGUCGGGUAAGUUCCGACCCGCACGAAAGGCGUAACGAUUUGGGCACUGUCUCAACGAGAGACUCGGUGAAAUCAUAGUACCUGUGAAGAUGCAGGUUACCCGCGACAGGACGGAAAGACCCCGUGGAGCUUUACUGUAGCCUGAUAUUGAAAUUCGGCACAGCUUGUACAGGAUAGGUAGGAGCCUUUGAAACGUGAGCGCUAGCUUACGUGGAGGCGCUGGUGGGAUACUACCCUAGCUGUGUUGGCUUUCUAACCCGCACCACUUAUCGUGGUGGGAGACAGUGUCAGGCGGGCAGUUUGACUGGGGCGGUCGCCUCCUAAAAGGUAACGGAGGCGCUCAAAGGUUCCCUCAGAAUGGUUGGAAAUCAUUCAUAGAGUGUAAAGGCAUAAGGGAGCUUGACUGCGAGACCUACAAGUCGAGCAGGGUCGAAAGACGGACUUAGUGAUCCGGUGGUUCCGCAUGGAAGGGCCAUCGCUCAACGGAUAAAAGCUACCCCGGGGAUAACAGGCUUAUCUCCCCCAAGAGUUCACAUCGACGGGGAGGUUUGGCACCUCGAUGUCGGCUCAUCGCAUCCUGGGGCUGUAGUCGGUCCCAAGGGUUGGGCUGUUCGCCCAUUAAAGCGGUACGCGAGCUGGGUUCAGAACGUCGUGAGACAGUUCGGUCCCUAUCCGUCGUGGGCGUAGGAAAUUUGAGAGGAGCUGUCCUUAGUACGAGAGGACCGGGAUGGACAUACCUCUGGUGUACCAGUUGUCGUGCCAACGGCAUAGCUGGGUAGCUAUGUGUGGACGGGAUAAGUGCUGAAAGCAUCUAAGCAUGAAGCCCCCCUCAAGAUGAGAUUUCCCAACUUCGGUUAUAAGAUCCCUCAAAGAUGAUGAGGUUAAUAGGUUCGAGGUGGAAGCAUGGUGACAUGUGGAGCUGACGAAUACUAAUCGAUCGAAGACUUAAUCAAAA
rnacentral:rRNA from 1 species